rnacentral:rRNA from 1 species
UACGGAGGGGGCUAGCGUUGUUCGGAAUUACUGGGCGUAAAGCGCACGUAGGCGGCUUUGUAAGUUAGAGGUGAAAGCCCAGGGCUCAACCCUGGAAUUGCCUUUAAGACUGCAUCGCUUGAACAUCGGAGAGGUAAGUGGAAUUCCGAGUGUAGAGGUGAAAUUCGUAGAUAUUCGGAAGAACACCAGUGGCGAAGGCGACUUACUGGACGAUUGUUGACGCUGAGGUGCGAAAGCGUGGGGAGCAAACAGGAUUAGAAACCCCCGUAGUCC